AAAAAAAGGCGAGUCGUCAUUAGGAAGGACCAAAUAUUGCUCGCCAUCCAGCAGUGCAUAGUGCCAAUCGAUUCCUAGUUACGUUGGGUCAACUCGCUGUUGCUGGCACUGCUAAAAGGGUCUACAACUGCUGAAACUAUGGCCCGAUUCUAGGAACCCGGGGUCCAUAAAACUCCAUUUGCCAUCAAAAACCCCGGGGUGGGAUUCCUGGAAGAGGACGCUCGUUGGCGAUUCUUCGGGUGCAGUCGAGAUUUAAUGGAGGUUACGUGCGCUGCUGAUAUGUUUAUUAUCUACCGCUGAAACGGUGGUGGAACAAUGUGACUAUUAAGGUAAAGUCCGUUAAAAAUUUCUUAAUUAGUUCUUUUUUGCCAAUACGACAAACGGUGGAAAUCGA